ensembl:rRNA 5S_rRNA 5S ribosomal RNA
GUCUACUACCGUACCACCCUGAUCCUGGAAGCUAAGCAGGGUUGGGCCUGGCCAGUAAUUGGAUAGAAUGCCUGUGAAUACCAAGUGCUGUUGGCU